UACGUAGGGGGCAAGCGUUGUCCGGAAUCAUUGGGCGUAAAGCGCGUGUAGGCGGUCCGGUAAGUCCGUUGUGAAAGUCCAGGGCUCAACCCUGGGAUGCCGGCGGAUACUGUCGGGCUAGAGUCCGGAAGAGGCGAGUGGAAUUCCCGGUGUAGCGGUGAAAUGCGCAGAUAUCGGGAGGAACACCUAUGGCGAAGGCAGCUCGCUGGGACGGUACUGACGCUGAGACGCGAAAGCGUGGGGAGCAAACAGG
rnacentral:rRNA from 1 species